rnacentral:lncRNA from 1 species
GGUCUUUUAUGUUUAUAAUUUUUUACAUAAUAUCUUUUUCUUGGUUUCUUAUAUUUAUAUUUUGAUUUUUUGUAUUUCUUAUAUUUCUUGUGGCUUUUUCUUUUCUUAUAAUAUCUUUCUUCACAUCCAAAUUGAGGUGCUAUUUUAUCUUUACAACAUGCUAAAUUUCUUAUUAAUGUUUUUUCCAUUUUUAUUUCUUCUCUAUAUUUUUCACAUAGAUUCCUAUACCAUUGUUGU